rnacentral:rRNA from 1 species
AGUGAACGCUGGCGGUAGGCCUAACACAUGCAAGUCGAACGGCAGCACAGUAAGAGCUUGCUCUUACGGGUGGCGAGUGGCGGACGGGUGAGGAAUACAUCGGAAUCUACUUUUUCGUGGGGGAUAACGUAGGGAAACUUACGCUAAUACCGCAUACGACCUACGGGUGAAAGCAGGGGAUCUUCGGACCUUGCGCGAUUGAAUGAGCCGAUGUCGGAUUAGCUAGUUGGCGGGGUAAAGGCCCACCAAGGCGACGAUCCGUAGCUGGUCUGAGAGGAUGAUCAGCCACACUGGAACUGGAACACGGUCCAGACUCCUACGGGAGGAAGCAGUGGGAAAUAUUGGACAAUGGGCGCAAGCCUGACCCAGCCAUACCGCGUGGGUGAAGAAGGCCUUCGGGUUGUAAAGCCCUUUUGUUGGGAAAGAAAAGCAGCAGGUUAAUACCCCGCUGUUCUGACGGUACCAAAAGAAUAAGCACCGGCUAACUUCGU